ACGCUUGACCGUCCAUAUUUAACCCUAGUUCUACCCCAAGCUUCAACCCUGGUUAAGUUAAGCCUUCCAGGCUUUUAGCAACCCUAGGGAAUCUCCAUUAGCAUAUAGAGUUUGAGAAGCACACCCUGCUCGUGGCUGCAAGUUGCCACUACCAGAGCAGCAGGACCAGACUCAAAUACUAUUACUGUUUAUAUAAUGAUGAGAAUCAUUUUGGGUAUGAGAAGCUCGCCCAAUAUUUUAAUUCGAGCGAUGUUUGCACCUCAUACUUCCAUGACUCUGAUGCGGUUAUGUCAUGCCUCUCUUUGUACCGACAGCUGUUUCCGAGUUCCGACUAUGAACUGAUUUUGGUCGUUUUCAGCAAGUAAUCGGUCGAUUAGCCGAAGGGAAGGAUUUGGGCCAAAGCCCACCGGACCCAGUAUCAGAUAGGGCACCUGGAGCUUGGAGGAUCGAUUUUUGACCCAUGAGGUUGUUCAGAGUCGGACCAUAACGAUGUAGCAGUACAUAGUAACAACUUGCUAUGCUCCGCGCCACCAAUAUUAGCGGGGUG